rnacentral:rRNA from 1 species
GAUGAACGCUGGCGGCGUGCUUAACACAUGCAAGUCGAACGUGAGAGGUAGCAAUAUCUUGAAAGUGGCGCACGGGUGGGUAACACGUAGGUAACCUGCCUCGGAGUGGGGGAUAACAGUUAGAAAUGACUGCUAAUACCGCAUGAAUCCAUUAAGAUGGGAAUGUUGAUGGAGAAAACUCUGGUGCUUCGAGAGGGGCCUGCGGUCGAUUAGCUAGUUGGCGGGGUAACGGCCCACCAAGGCGACGAUCGAUAGCUGGUCUGAGAGGACGAUCAGCCACACGGGAACUGAGACACGGUCCCGACUCCUACGGGGGGCAGCAGUGAGGAAUAUUGGGCAAUGGGCGGAAGCCUGACCCAGCAACGCCGCGUGGAGGAAUGAAGGCCUUCGGGUUGGUAAACUACCUUUUUGCAGGGGAAGAGGAAGGACGGUACCCUGCGAAUAAGUCAGGCUAACUAACGUGCCAGCAGCCGCGGUAAU